rnacentral:rRNA from 1 species
GAUGAGCGCUGGCGGCGUGCCUAAUACAUGCAAGUCGAGCGAACGGACGAGAAGCUUGCUUCUCUGAUGUUAGCGGCGGACGGGUGAGUAACACGUGGAUAACCUACCUAUAAGACUGGGAUAACUUCGGGAAACCGUAGCUAAUACCGGAUAGUAUUUUGAACCGCAUGGUUCAAAAGUGAAAGACGGUCUUGCUGUCACUUAUAGAUGGAUCCGCGCUGCAUUAGCUAGUUGGUAAGGUAACGGCUUACCAAGGCAACGAUGCAUAGCCGACCUGAGAGGGUGAUCGGCCACACUGGAACUGAGACACGGUCCAGACUCCUACGGGAGGCAGCAGUAGGGAAUCUUCCGCAAUGGGCGAAAGCCUGACGGAGCAACGCCGCGUGAGUGAUGAAGGUCUUCGGAUCGUAAAACUCUGUUAUUAGGGAAGAACAUAUGUGUAAGUAACUGUGCACAUCUUGACGGUACCUAAUCAGAAAGCCACGGCUAACUACGCG